UACGGAGGGUGCAAGCGUUAUCCGGAUUCACUGGGUUUAAAGGGUGCGUAGGCGGACAGGUAAGUCAGUGGUGAAAUCUCCGAGCUUAACUCGGAACUGCCGUUGAUACUAUUUGUCUUGAAUAUUGUGGAGGUAAGCGGAAUAUGUCAUGUAGCGGUGAAAUGACUUAGAUAUGACAUAGAACACCAAUUGCGAAGGCAGCUUACUACACAACAAUUGACGCUGAGGCACGAAAGCGUGGGGAUCAAACAGG
rnacentral:rRNA from 1 species